rnacentral:rRNA from 1 species
UACAGAGGUCCCAAGCGUUGUUCGGAUUUACUGGGCGUAAAGGGUGCGUAGGCGGUGGGGUAAGUUUGAGGUGAAAGCUCCGGGCUCAACCCGGAAACUGCCUUGAAAACUAUCCGGCUAGAGGGUUGGAGGGGAGACUGGAAUUCUCGGUGUAGCAGUGAAAUGCGUAGAUAUCGUUUGGAACGCCAAAGGUGAAAACAGACAGCUGGGAGUGUGCUGACGCUGAGACACGAAAGCCAGGGGAGCGAACGGG